rnacentral:rRNA from 1 species
GUGGGGAAUUUUGGACAAUGGGCGCAAGCCUGAUCCAGCAAUGCCGCGUGCAGGAAGAAGGCCUUCGGGUUGUAAACUGCUUUUGUACGGAACGAAACGGUCCGGGUUAAUACCCUGGGCUAAUGACGGUACCGUAAGAAUAAGCACCGGCUAACUACGUGCCAGCAGCCGCGGUAAUACGUAGGGUGCAAGCGUUAAUCGGAAUUACUGGGCGUAAAGCGUGCGCAGGCGGUGUUGUAAGACAGGCGUGAAAUCCCCGGGCUCAACCUGGGAAUUGCGCUUGUGACUGGAAGGCUGGAGUGCGGCAGAGGGGGAUGGAAUUCCGCGUGUAGCAGUGAAAUGCGUAGAUAUGCGGAGGAACACCGAUGGCGAAGGCAAUCCCCUGGGCCUGCACUGACGCUCAUGCACGAAAGCGUGGGGAGCAAACAGGAUUAGAAACCCGUGUAGUCC